GCCUGGAUGGUGGAAUUGGUAGACACCCGGGACUUAAAAUCCCGUGCCAGUAAUGGCGUACCGGUUCGAUUCCGGUUCCAGGCACCA
rnacentral:tRNA from 1 species